CUCUGUUUGUAGGUAUAAAGAGUAUAGCCUGCUCACUGAUAAAGUUUAAGAGCCGCGGUAUUUUGACCGUGCAAAGGUAGCAUAAUCGUUAGUUUUUUAAUUGGAAUCUUGUAUGAAGGGUUGGACAAAGGAAAAGCUGUCUUUAUAAUAUUAAUUGAAUUUAACUUUUAGGUGAAAAGGUCUAAAUAAAUUAAGGGGACGAUAAGACCCUAUAAAGCUUAAUAUAAAUUUAUUAUUUAAUUGAAUUUUAGUUUUAUAAAAAUAAAUUAAUUAAAUAUAUUUUAUUGGGGUGAUAAGAGUAAAAUGAUUACUAACUGCUUUUAAAUAAUUCAAAUAUAGGUGUAUAAAGUUAAUGAUCCUAAUUAAAGAUUUAAAGUUUAAGUUACUUUAGGGAUAACAGCGUUAUUUUUUUUGAGAGUACUUAUCGAGAAAAAAGUUUGCGACCUCGAUGUUGAAUUAAAAUAUCUCUAUAAUUGCAGGAGUUAUAAGAGAAGGUCUGUUCGACCUUUAAAUUUUU
rnacentral:rRNA from 1 species